CAUUUCAGGAUUGCUAACUAUGUACAAGCAAUCAUAUAAAGGGUAGAUCAAAAUUAUACUAAUAAUAUUUUUUAGCACAACCAUACUAUAUGGUAUCGAUCGAUGUAUCGAUAAGAUUGUCAUGUUUUUAUUUCUUAAAAAGACACUUCAUUUGUUGCAGAUCUAGUUGCUUAUUCUUGCACUCUACUUCCUUACUACUGCUCAUGAUGGCUUUCCUUUCGUAUCAAUGACAGUUCAACCAAUCUCCGGACCUCUAUUAGUGUAGUUAUCAGGGUCACGACUUACACAAAAACAGUAAUGUAUUAGAACACAAAUAAAUUAAGCUAUUUAGUUAACCAAACAUGUGUUGCACUACUAAUGGGUGAGCACAAAUAAAAAUAUAAUUACUAAUAUCGAACCAAGCUUAUCUAUGUCCUACAGCAAUCCAAACCAAAAGAAACCAAUUAUAUAUAGUUUGUCGGGAGCUAACAGACAUAAAGACAAAACAAUCAAGUUUCCAAUAAAUCUAGUGAUCUUUAGUUAGAUUCAGAGAUUGUAUUUAUAAUAAUCAGAAAUCAUGCUACAGCUGUGAGAAAUAGUAAUCCACCAUAGACACUCGAACAAUAAAUAAAGAUAUUUAAGUAUAUAAUUUUUCAGUAGUAAAGACAAAGUAGCAAAUAGAAAGGGCGUGAAAAAUGUACUCCAUUUAUCCAUAAGUCAUUCCUGAAAUUAUUGAUUAUAUGUUAAUAUUUGUUCAAUUUAGAAUAGUGUGUAUAUAUAUAUAUAUUGGAUGGUCUGAUGUUAAUAUGUGUACACAAACUUAUAUAAUAGUGUGUGCUGGAAAGGAUGGUAUUAUUUAUAAUGUUGUAUUUUAAAUUAUAAUGUGAUAUUAGUUGAUUAUACAUUAAGAUAUUUGUUGACUGAGUUGAGUUGUACGAUGUUUUGUGAUUAUAAUGUGAUGAGUAUAAAUUUAAUAAAGUUAGUUAAAUUCUUUCGGAUAUUAUAAAAAUUUCAGUAUUUCAGUAAUAUGUAUGUUCUCAUUUUUGUUUUUGUAGUAAUCAUAUUUGUUAGAAGUAAAUAUAUAUUAUUUGUGUACAACAUAUGAUAAUUAAUUUAUUAGCGUACGAUUUUAUGGUUUAAUUGUUUGAUGUCUGCUAAUUGGUAGGGAUGAUUUUAUUUUAUUAUACAGAACCUAAUUUUGUUAAGUCAACAAUGAAAGGCUAAUCGUUUUAUAAAUUGUUUAAAUUAUUA
rnacentral:lncRNA from 1 species